CCUGAGAGAGCUGGAAGCUAAAAAUCUGGAAAAACAAGAGGAACUAAGAAUUGCUCACAUGCAUCUGAAAGAGCACCAGGAAAUUAUUGAUCAACUCAGAGGGAUUGUUUCUGAGAAGACAGAUGAAAUAUCAAAUAUGCAGAUGGAUUUAGAAAAUUCAAAUGCUAAAUUACAAGAAAAGAUCCAAGAACUUAAGACAAAUGAACAUCAACUUUUUAAGUUAAAAGAAGAUGUCAGUGAGACACAGAA